UACGUAGGGGGCUAGCGUUGUCCGGAAUCAUUGGGCGUAAAGAGCGUGUAGGCGGCCACGCAGGUCCGUUGUGAAAACUGGAGGCUCAACCUCCAGCUGUCGACGGAAACCGUAUGGCUAGAGUCCGGAAGAGGAGAGUGGAAUUCCUGGUGUAGCGGUGAAAUGCGCAGAUAUCAGGAAGAACACCAAUGGCGAAGGCAGCUCUCUGGGACGGUACUGACGCUGAGACGCGAAAGCGUGGGGAGCGAACAGG
rnacentral:rRNA from 1 species